rnacentral:snRNA from 1 species
AUACUUACCUGGCAGGGGAGAUACCAUGAUCACGAAGGUGGUUUUCCCAGGACAAGGCUUAUCCAUUGCACUCCAGAUGUGCUGACCCCUGCGAUUUCCCCAAAUGUGGGAAACUUGACUGCAUAAUUUGUGGUAGUGGGGGACUGCAUUCGCACUUUCCCCUA